UGGGGAAUUUUUCGCAAUGGGGGAAACCCUGACGAAGCAACGCCGCGUGGAGGAUGAAGGCCUUCGGGUCGUAAACUCCUGUCGACCGGGACGAAAGUAGUCCGACCCAAUACGUCGGGCUAUCGACUGUACCGGUGGAGGAAGCCACGGCUAACUCUGUGCCAGCAGCCGCGGUAAUACAGAGGUGGCAAGCGUUGUUCGGAAUUACUGGGCGUAAAGGGCGCGUAGGCGGCCUUGCAAGUCCUGCGUGAAAUCCCUCGGCUCAACUGAGGAAUUGCACGGGAAACUGUUUGGCUUGAGUUCGGGAGAGGGAAGCGGAAUUCCGGGUGUAGCGGUGAAAUGCGUAGAUAUCCGGAGGAACACCGGUGGCGAAGGCGGCUUCCUGGACCGACACUGACGCUGAGGCGCGAAAGCUAGGGGAGCAAACGGG
rnacentral:rRNA from 2 species